UACGAAGGGUCCAAGCGUUGUUCGGAAUCAUUGGGCGUAAAGCGCGCGCAGGCGGGUCAGCAAGUCAGAUGUGAAAUCUCGAAGCUCAACUUCGAAACUGCGUCUGAAACUGCUAGUCUAGAGUGUCGGAGGGGGUAGGGGAAUUUCACGUGUAGGGGUAAAAUCCGUAGAGAUGUGAAGGAACACCGGGGGCGAAGGCGCCUACCUGGACGACUACUGACGCUGAGGCGCGAAAGCGUGGGGAGCAAACGGG
rnacentral:rRNA from 1 species